rnacentral:rRNA from 1 species
GAUGAACGCUGGCGGCGUGCCUAACACAUGCAAGUCGAGCGAUUCUCUUCGGAGAAGAGCGGCGGACGGGUGAGUAACGCGUGGGUAACCUGCCCUGUACACACGGAUAACAUACCGAAAGGUAUGCUAAUACGAGAUAAUAUACUUUUAUCGCAUGGUAGAAGUAUCAAAGCUUUUGCGGUACAGGAUGGACCCGCGUCUGAUUAGCUAGUUGGUAAGGUAACGGCUUACCAAGGCGACGAUCAGUAGCCGACCUGAGAGGGUGAUCGGCCACAUCGGAACUGAGACACGGUCCAAACUCCUACGGGAGGCAGCAGUGGGGAAUAUUGCACAAUGGGCGAAAGCCUGAUGCAGCAACGCCGCGUGAGCGAUGAAGGCCUUCGGGUCGUAAAGCUCUGUCCUCAAGGAAGAUAAUGACGGUACUUGAGGAGGAAGCCCCGGCUAACUACGUGCCAGCAGCCGCGGUAAUACGUAGGGGGCUAGCGUUAUCCGGAAUUACUGGGCGUAAAGGGUGCGUAGGUGGUUUCUUAAGUCAGAGGUGAAAGGCUACGGCUCAACCGUAGUAAGCCUUUGAAACUGGGAAACUUGAGUGCAGGAGAGGAGAGUGGAAUUCCUAGUGUAGCGGUGAAAUGCGUAGAUAUUAGGAGGAACACCAGCUGCGAAGGCGGCUCUCUGGACUGUAACUGACACUGAGGCACGAAAGCGUGGGGAGCAAACAGG